rnacentral:rRNA from 1 species
AGAGUUUGAUCAUGGCUCAGGAUGAACGCUGGCGGCGUGCCUAACACAUGCAAGUCGAGCGAAGCACUUUACUUUGAGAUCUUCGGAAGGAUAAGUUUUGUGACUGAGCGGCGGACGGGUGAGUAACGCGUGGGCAACCUGCCUCACACAGGGGGAUAACAGUUAGAAAUGACUGCUAAUACCGCAUAAGGCCACAGCACCGCAUGGUGCAGGGGUAAAAACUCCGGUGGUGUGAGAUGGGCCCGCGUCUGAUUAGUUAGUUGGCGGGGUAACGGCCUACCAAGGCGACGAUCAGUAGCCGACCUGAGAGGGUGACCGG